GACGAACGCUGGCGGCGUGCUUAACACAUGCAAGUCGAACGGAAAGGCCUGCUUUUGUGGGGUGCUCGCGUGGCGAACGGGUGAGUAACACGUGAGUAACCUGCCCUUGACUUUGGGAUAACUUCAGGAAACUGGGGCUAAUACCGGAUAGGAGCUCCUGCUGCAUGGUGGGGGUUGGAAAGUUUCGGCGGUUGGGGAUGGACUCGCGGCUUAUCAGCUUGUUGGUGGGGUAGUGGCUUACCAAGGCUUUGACGGGUAGCCGGCCUGAGAGGGUGACCGGCCACAUUGGGACUGAGAUACGGCCCAGACUCCUACGGGAGGCAGCAGUGGGGAAUAUUGCACAAUGGGCGGAAGCCUGAUGCAGCAACGCCGCGUGCGGGAUGACGGCCUUCGGGUUGUAAACCGCUUUCGCCUGUGACGAAGCGUGAGUGACGGUAAUGGGUAAAGAAGCACCGGCUAACUACGUG
rnacentral:rRNA from 1 species